rnacentral:rRNA from 1 species
AGGACGAACGCUGGCGGCGUGCUUAACACAUGCAAGUCGCACGGGCACUUCGGUGUCAGUGGCGGACGGGUGAGUAACGCGUAGGUAUCUAUCCUUGGGUGGGGGACAACUGUGGGAAACUACAGCUAAUACCGCAUGAUAACUGAGGUUUAAAGGCGCAAGUCGCCUGAGGAGGAGCCUGCGUACGAUUAGCUAGUUGGUGGGGUAAAGGCCUACCAAGGCGACGAUCGUUAGCUGGUCUGAGAGGAUGAUCAGCCACAUUGGGACUGAGACACGGCCCAAACUCCUACGGGAGGCAGCAGUGGGAAUAUUGGACAAUGGGCGCAAGCCUGAUCCAGCAAUGCCGCGUGUGUGAAGAAGGUCUUCGGAUUGUAAAGCACUUUCGACGGGGACGAUGAUGACGGUACCCGUAGAAGAAGCCCCGGCUAACUUCGUGCCAGCAGCCGC